AACUUGGACUUUCAUCUGUCAAACAAUGAACACACAAUUUAAGCUAUUUUUUAUGGUGACCUGCCUGCUUGCAGUUACAAGUUGAGUUUUAUAAAAACGAAUGGAAAGAGUGAAAACUGAAAAUGUUAAUACUAGUGAUAAAAAGUGUAGGUCUUCUAAAAUUAGGUACAAUUGAAGCAAAAGUGAAAUAUUCAGAUGUGCCAAAAAGCUCAAACCAACCUCAACCAACUACUCAUUGUCUAUACUCAAUGUGUUCAACUGUGAAUGAAGCAAACAAGAUUAAACACAUAAAGGAAAUGUUGGGAAAAUGGCAUUAAAGAUUGUAUCUAAAAGGCAAGGCGUCCUCAAAUUUUAUGAGGUUCCAUACUCUACACAGAGCAAGUCAAACAGGUAACAGGGUAACUACUAAGCCUCCACUUCUCUUGAUGAUAUGAUGUUUCAUGUUACCUCUGGCAUCUUGGACAAGCCACUGAUGGCCUUGAUGUUACCAAUAAAAGGAACCAGGAAGAUCACACUUGCCUAAAAGCAGGAGCUUGGUUUAUCCCCAGUGGAUUCCUUGAUUGUAUGUCUUGAGGAUUUUCUUCAGAGUUGACUGCUGUGACUGACACUUUCUUUUUCCAUGAAACAGCACAAUAAAUUGAUGAGUCUGGCGAUGAUAAAUAGAAGUGUCCCAUCUGGUGUUGUCUACCAUUUUUACUUUACAUUCCAUCGUCAACAAAAUGCUGUAACAGCAGUGCCAACUGGAAAGAGUGACUCUUGAAAAAUUUUCCUUCUUUGCAUUUCCACUCAAUAAUGCAUUUUAAAUCUGUAUCCUUUACUUGCUUUUCUUGGGCUCAUCAAGUUUAGGCAUAAGCUUUUUAUCAACUCUGAUUUGGGUUACUAUUUACCUGAAAUACAUCAGAAGGAGAAUCACUGAGCCAUGGCUAUACCGAUGGUUGGAUGUCAGGAGCAGAUGACCUCUGCGGUUGACCAUGGAAAGCAAAACUGCAGCUUAAGAAGCAAGACUGAUCGAUUUCAGAUCUUUCUUCCAUUCUAAUCGUAUGGUCUACCCCAGAGAAUACUCCAUGUGUACUUGAACACAGUGGGCAAUACGCAUUCUGCUGCCGGUGGUGCAGGGUUCUAUGUACAUCAGG
ensembl:lncRNA